rnacentral:rRNA from 1 species
AACGAACGCUGGCGGCAUGCCUAACACAUGCAAGUCGAACGAGGCCCUUCGGGGUUUAGUGGCGCACGGGUGCGUAACGCGUGGGAAUUUGCCUUUUGGUUUGGAAUAACAGCUGGAAACGGCUGCUAAUACCGGAUGAUGACGAAAGUCCAAAGAUUUAUUGCCAGAGGAUGAGCCCGCGUUGGAUUAGGUAGUUGGUGGGGUAAAGGCCUACCAAGCCGACGAUCCAUAGCUGGUUUGAGAGGAUGACCAGCCACACUGGGACUGAGACACGGCCCAGACUCCUACGGGAGGCAGCAGUGGGGAAUAUUGGACAAUGGGCGCAAGCCUGAUCCAGCAAUGCCGCGUGAGUGAUGAAGGCCCUAGGGUUGUAAAGCUUUUUUACCCGGGAAGAUAAUGACUGUACCGGGAGAAUAAGCCCCGGCUAACUCCGUG